rnacentral:rRNA from 1 species
UACGAAGGGGGCUAGCGUUGCUCGGAAUCACUGGGCGUAAAGCGCACGUAGGCGGACUCUUAAGUCAGGGGUGAAAUCCUGGAGCUCAACUCCAGAACUGCCUUUGAUACUGAAGAUCUUGAGUUCGGGAGAGGUGAGUGGAACUGCGAGUGUAGAGGUGAAAUUCGUAGAUAUUCGCAAGAACACCAGUGGCGAAGGCGGCUCACUGGCCCGAUACUGACGCUGAGGCACGAAAGCGUGGGGAGCGAACAGG